GGGGCAUCAAGGCGUGUAUUCCCUGGCAUACUUGCCCCGUCCACAAGUCAACGCCUGGCUUUCUUUGGAAGAUGUCACCCUUUGCCGUGGAGUCUAUACGAUGCCCUUCCUUACAAUGUGGGACUGAGAUGAAUUGUAGGCAGUCUCUUUGAGAGACUUGAAAGAAAGUUGAUGAACUUCCUAGGCGCGCAAUACAUCCCUUCUUUCCUUUACCUGGCGGAAGGUACAGCCACCUGUCUGUCAAGUUCCCUGGUACUGAGUUUCAGGUGUACAACAUAGUGACUGAACAUUCUGUAUGCACAUCACCUUGUGCUCAUCACAAGUGCCCUUCUGGAGGUGAGUAGGGGGAUGGGUAAAUAGGAAUGGCUCUCAUUUGGGUCUCACGUUCCAAAACCUAAGUUGGAUUACUAUACUUAGGCAAAACGUUAAAAAAAAAUUUUUUUUAACUGGUUUUUAUUUAUUUUUGAG